rnacentral:rRNA from 1 species
CCUCAGAAUGGUUGGAAAUCAUUCGGAGAGUGCAAAGGCACAAGGGAGCUUGACUGCGAGACGGACAGGUCGAGCAGGGACGAAAGUCGGGCUUAGUGAUCCGGUGGUUCCGCAUGGAAGGGCCAUCGCUCAACGGAUAAAAGCUACCCCGGGGAUAACAGGCUGAUCUCCCCCAAGAGUCCACAUCGACGGGGAGGUUUGGCACCUCGAUGUCGGCUCAUCGCAUCCUGGGGCUGUAGUCGGUCCCAAGGGUUGGGCUGUUCGCCCAUUAAAGCGGUACGCGAGCUGGGUUCAGAACGUCGUGAGACAGUUCGGUCCCUAUCCGUCGCGGGCGCAGGAAAUUUGAGAGGAGCUGUCCUUAGUACGAGAGGACCGGGAUGGACGCACCGCUGGUGUACCAGUUGUCCCGCCAGGGGCACCGCUGGGUAGCUAUGUGCGGACGGGAUAAGCGCUGAAAGCAUCUAAGCGUGAAGCCCCCCUCAAGAUGAGAUUUCCCA